ACUGGAUAAGAGACAAGAAGGCAUCUUCUUGUUUUUAAAAGACCUAGCAAUAGGUAUGCUUAGGGAGGAGCUUGCGUCACAUUAGUUAGUUGGUAGGGUAAAGGCCUACCAAGACUAUGAUGUGUAGCCGGGCUGAGAGGUUGAACGGCCACAUUGGGACUGAGACACGGCCCAAACUCCUACGGGAGGCAGCAGUAGGGAAUUUUCGGCAAUGGAGGAAACUCUGACCGAGCAACGCCGCGUGAACGAUGAAGUAUUUCGGUACGUAAAGUUCUUUUAUUAGGGAAGAAUAAAUGAUGGAAAAAUCAUUCUGACGGUACCUAAUGAAUAAGCCCCGGCUAAUUAUGUGCCAGCAGCCGCGGUAAUACAUAGGGGGCAAGCGUUAUCCGGAAUUAUUGGGCGUAAAGGGUGCGUAGGCGGUUAAAUAAGUUUAUGGUCUAAGUGCAAUGCUCAACAUUGUGAUGCUAUAAAAACUGUUUAUCUAGAGUAAGAUAGAGGCAAGUGGAAUUCCAUGUGUAGUGGUAAAAUGCGUAAAUAUAUGGAGGAACACCAGUAGCGAAGGCGGCUUGCUGGGUCUUUACUGACGCUGAGGCACGAAAGCGUGGGGAGCAAACAGGAUUAGAUACCCUGGUAGUCCACGCUGUAAACGAUGAGUACUAAACGUUGGGUAAAACCAGUGUUGAAGUUAACACAUUAAGUACUCCGCCUGAGUAGUACGUACGCAAGUAUGAAACUUAAAGGAAUUGACGGGACUCCGCUCAAGCGGUGGAUCAUGUUGUUUAAUUCGAAGGUACCCGAAAAACCUCACCAGGUCUUGACAUGCUUCUGCAAAGCUGUAGAAACACAGUGGAGGUUAUCAGUUGCACAGGUGGUGCAUGGUUGUCGUCAGCUCGUGUCGUGAGAUGUUGGGUUAAGUCCCGCAACGAGCGCAACCCUUAUUGUUAGUUACCAGCACGUAAUGGUGGGGACUUUAGCAAGACUGCCAGUGAUAAAUUGGAGGAAGGUGGGGACGACGUCAAAUCAUCAUGCCCCUUAUGACCUGGGCUACAAACGUGAUACAAUGGCUGUUACAAAGGGUAGCUGAAGCGCAAGUUUUUGGCGAAUCUCAAAAAAACAGUCUCAGUUCGGAUUGAAGUCUGCGACUCGACUUCAUGAAGUUGGAAUCGCUAGUAAUCGCGAAUCAGCAUGUCGCGGUGAAUACGUCUCGGGGUUUGUACACACCGCCCGUCA
rnacentral:rRNA from 1 species